CGCCGCGUGAGUGAUGAAGGNUUUCGGAUCGUAAAGCUCUGUUGUUAGGGAAGAACAAGUGCCGUUUGAAUAAGGCGGCACCUUGACGGUACCUAACCAGAAAGCCACGGCUAACUACGUGCCAGCAGCCGCGGUAAUACGUAGGUGGCAAGCGUUGUCCGGAAUUAUUGGGCGUAAAGCGCGCGCAGGCGGUCUCUUAAGUCUGAUGUGAAAGCCCACGGCUCAACCGUGGAGGGUCAUUGGAAACUGGGAGACUUGAGUACAGAAGAGGAGAGUGGAAUUCCACGUGUAGCGGUGAAAUGCGUAGAUAUGUGGAGGAACACCAGUGGCGAAGGCGACUCUCUGGUCUGUAACUGACGCUGAGGCGCGAAAGCGUGGGGAGCAAACAGGAUUAGAUACCCUAGNNGUCCACGCCGUAAACAAUGAGUGCUAGGUGUUAGGGGUUUCGAUGCCCUUAGUGCCGAAGUUAACACAUUAAGCACUCCGCCUGGGGAGUACGACCGCAAGGUUGAAACUCAAAGGAAUUGACGGGGGCCCGCACAAGCAGUGGAGCAUGUGGUUUAAUUCGAAGCAACGCGAAGAACCUUACCAGGUCUUGACAUCCUUUGACCACUCUAGAGAUAGAGCUUUCCCCUUCGGGGGACAAAGUGACAGGU
rnacentral:rRNA from 1 species